UGGAUCAGCGGAUGUGAAAAUCUUAGAUCAGUUCCCGAAGGCCUACACACUCUACACAAUCUUAGUUAUGUGAGAGUAGAAAAUUGCCCAAAACUUGUUUCUUUCGUAAAAGAUGGGCUUCCUAACACUGAACUAACAGUCUUUAUCAGUGGAUGUGAGAAACUACAAGCCCUACCUAGUCACAUGCACACCCUCAAAUCUCUUCAAUCCCUAACCUUAUGGAAUAAUCCAAAAAUGGCAUUCUUUCCUGAACAAGACAUCCCCACCAAUCUGACAUCACUUGACAUUGAUGAUCCCAAAAUCUACAACUCACUUGCUGAGUGGGGCUUCCACAAACUCAUCUCCCUUCGAAAACUUAGGAUUGUUGGAUCCCCAGAGGCAGUGUCUUUUCCAGAGGAGGAAAAGGGAAUGAAGUUGCCAGCCUCUCUAGUUCAUCUAAAAUUACAAAAAUUCCCAAACUUGAAAUACCUAUCUUCCAACGGUUUCCAGAAUCUCACCUCUCUUGAAAACUUGGAUAUCUUUACUUGCCCAAAUCUCACAUCCUUGCCACACUUUCCAUCCUCGCUUCUGCGACUAACUAUUUAUGGUUGUCAUGUGCUGAAGAAACGGUGCGAACGUGGUGAAGGACAAGACUGGUCCAAGAUAGCCCACAUCCCGUAUGUUAAGAUAGACAGCCAGUUCAUCUAGAUCCAGAGGAGGAACAAUGAUGUCCAUUUGAUAUCAGAAGGAAUGGAAAAGGCGGAAUCACCUAGGGGCUAUUCAGGAACCAACUUGAUUGUAUCAACUCGAAUGCAUAUGCCAACAUGGCAAUGGCAGCGGUAGCUUUACCAUAUGGUUGAUUGGACGGUUGUGAAAACAGAGGCUGAUACAAAGCUCACCGCAUUGCACGAAUAAU